CCUACGGGUGGCAGCAGUUGGGGAUAUUGCACAAUGGGGGGAACCCUGAUGCAGCGAAGCCGCGUGGGUGAAGAAGCGCCUCGGCGCGUAAAGCCCUGUCAGCAGGGAAGCAAAUGACGGUACCUGAAGCAGAAGCCCCGGCUAACUACGUACCAGCAGCCGCGGGAAUACGUAGGGGGCCAGCGUUAUCCGGAUGUACUGGGGGUAAAGGGGGCGCAGACGGCGAUGCAAGCCAGGAGUGAAAGCCCGGGGCCCAACCCCGGGACUGCUGUUGGAACUGCGUGGCUGGAGGGCAGGAGGGGCAGGCGGAAUUCCUGGUGUAGCGGUGAAAUGCGUAGAUAUCAGGAGGAACACCGGUGGCGAAGGCGGCCUGCUGGACUGCAACUGACGUUGAGGCCCGAAAGCGUGGGGAGCGAACAGGAUUAGAUACCCGUGUAGUC
rnacentral:rRNA from 1 species